rnacentral:tRNA from 1 species
UGGGUUGUGGCUCAGGGGUAGAGCACUUGCCUGGCAUGUAUGAGGUACUGGGUUCGAUCCUCAGCACCGCAU